CCUACGGGAGGCUGCAGUAGGGAAUCUUCCACAAUGGGCGAAAGCCUGAUGGAGCAACGCCGCGUGGGUGAAGAAGGUCUUCGGCUCGUAAAGCCCUGUUGUUAGGGAAGAAGGUGCGUGAGACUAACUGUUCACGUUUCGACUGUAUCUGUCCAGACAGCCGCGGCUAACUACGUGCCAGGAGCCGCGGUAAUACGUAGGUGGCAAGCGUUAUCCGGAUGUAGUGGGCGUAAAGGGAACGCAGGCGGUCUGUUAAGUCUGAGGUGAAAGCCUUCGGCUUAACCGGAGGAGUGCAUUGGAAACUGGGAGACUGGAGUGCAGAAGAGGAGAGUGGAACUCCAGGUGUAGCGGUGAAAUGCGUAGAUAUAUGGAAGAACACCAGUGGCGAAAGCGGCUCACUGGACUGUAACUGACGCUGAGGUUCGAAAGCGUGGGUAGCAAACAGGAUUAGAUACCCUUGUAGUC
rnacentral:rRNA from 1 species